CCCGCCUUAACUAAGGAUAGUUAAGCCGAGUGAUCUACGACUAGGGAUGGGGUUAAAGAAUAAGGGAAAGAAAGGGGCGUCAUUUGAAACCGUAAAUCUUACUCAACCUAAGAAAAAUCGUCGUAUUUACUCAUUAAUACUCUUUUGAACAGUCUAUGAAAGACAAAAUAAAACUUAAUUAAUAUCAUUAAUCAAGUUAUACAUCAUAUGAAACCAUUCUCUUAAGACUCAAAGUAUGACAUAACAUACUAUAACAUCAACAACAUCUUGCAGCGGAAAGUAGCUAGACAUAUGUAUGAAGACAUAUUCUAGACAGGUUAACUAUUUAUUAACAACCCUGGAGACUCCGCUCAUUGCAGCACCAUCAUCACAUCAGCUCAACCUGCACAUUUAGAAAACAUAUGCAGGGCUGAGUACAAAAGCACUCAGUGGGCACGUAUACCUAGGUAUAAAAAUACAUGCUUCAAAACUGUAAAUUGUCAUGCCAUCAUAAUCAGUACAGCAAGGGAGUUUUUCGCUAAAAAGGCCCAAGCUUACUAAGUUCAUUUGUGAUUCUUAAAGUUCGUCUGAUCAGACUAAGUUCUUUUGUAAUCUAUCAUAUCUGAAACUGUGUGCCGGAGAGGUGGCCACCUCUCACGGUCACUUGACCGGCCAACCCGCUAGAUGACUCACGGUCACUGGUGUACACUAGCCCUGCAGGAUAGCUAUCAACUGCUCAGACCCGAAUUCGAUUGCAUCAUUGGCAAAGCCAAAGCAGAUAGAUAUCAUACUAAAAUUUAAACAUUUUAUGGCAAGACAAUACUUGAAAUAACUUUAACUCAAAAUUUUGUAAGAAAUAACUUGCUCAAAGUAACAUUUAAACUCAUUUGAUAUAUAUAAAACUGAAAUUAACAGUUAAAUCAUCUCAUGCAUUCAUUCGUAUAAGAGGCCUACGACAAGCAGGGGAUCUCUAUAUACGUAUAGUAAAAGUAAUGCCCACCUCGUUGUGUCUCUGUAUCAAUGAGUAACGUCACUCUCUCCCUCAAGUCGUUACUUCCCAAAAGGACCUUCAUCGUUAUGAAGAAUUGGUGAGAAGUUAUAAAAGAAACCUCGAUUAAUAAUCUAAUCUCUUUUAUGAAACAUUAGUAUCUCUAAUGUUCAUCUCUCUUGAUUGUUAAUCAAUAUAACAAUUAUUAUCUCUCGUCAUUACUCAUUAAUUAUAACAUCCUUAUGUUAUAAUUAGCAGCGCUUCAAUUAAAAGAAAUAUUUAACACAUCGAAAAGUCCACUUUCUUAGCAGAUCUAUUCGCUCUCAUCUCGUCUAAUUAACCGAUUAGAAAGUUAAACUUUCCAUUAGGCAUGUAUUUGAGUCACGGGUCAACAAGAAUUGACUAUGCUCAAAUUCUAAUUUCACUAAAAAUUUCGGCAUGACCUAUUCAUAUAUAAUGUCAGCCACGAGAUUUCAACGCGUGAAUCUCACUACGUGAACUCGUCUCUCGACUCAAAACUUAACAUCUUGACAUCUUUUCAACGCAAACCAAACAAUUCAAAAUCAUCAAAACUCUUUAUCAGUAAACUAUCAUUUAUACUCGACACCAAUUGUUCGAGUGUCAGAUACCAACAUUUAUGUGCGUUAAUCAUAACUCUCACAACUCACACCAUUUAGUCAUAUCGUAUCAUCCAUCAAAACAAAUAUAAUCAAGUUGUUUUCUAGAAAGUUUUGCUGUUUUUGUGUCAUCUUUAAAAAUUCAUAACAACCAACUCAAUCAUCAUAAACUAUCAUACCAAUUGAUCUCAAAAACUUCAUGAAGUGUAGUUCACUCUAAAAAUGGUAGUUAACCAAAAAGGUUAAAGGUUUUUGGAGAUAUUGCUCUUUUAGUGCAGGCUGUCAAAGAUUGACAGUUUCUGCCUAAUUUUGUUUAGGCCAUUAGAAACCAAGGCAAACCUUAAUAAAAUUCCAUCAAAUUUAAUCAUACCAAAACUAAAGGUAUCCUUGAAGUAUUUGGUUAAAUUUUCACAAGAGAAAACGUUCAUAUGAUCUGCCAAAUAAACAAUGAAACUCAUACACUUUUACUGUUGGACAAAUAUGACAGCAGAACAGGGCAUUUUUGAAAUAAUAAACUGCUCUGUUUCAGAGGUCAUAAAAAAUCGAAAUCUUAUGUUUUUAGAAAGUAUUGAAGUCUAGUUUCGUUUAAAAAAAACGGUGAUGCAAAAUCCUUCAUGGAUUAAUAGAUAUAAACGUUUUUGUGUAAGUCUACCAAUAGUUGACAGAUUCUGUCAAGGAUUUUUCAAAAUAUCUUUAAAAUAGCAAACAUCAUCCAAAAGCAUGUAAUUUGACAAGAAACGAAUACACAUAUCAAUAGAUAAACAUACUAAAAUUUCAGAGCCAUCAAGCAAUGAAAACUCAUCGAAACAUAAGCUUGAAACUGCUGUAAAAUUUUGACAGAAUUCCAGUUUUAAUUUCGUUCAACCAAUUAUCAUCCAUAAAUUGUAAAUCAAUUAGCAUGCUCAUGUGAUAUCGUAGAACACAUAUACGCAAUAAUAUUCAUUAUGCAACGUCCCAAACUUCACGAAUUUAAAUAAUCAUGCUCUAAAAACUUAUACAAUUUUCGUGCUUGGAAAAAUACGAAUUUAAUAUAUAUCGAUCCUAGCAUACCCCUAAGCACAAAUAUCAAGUCAAAACGAUCAAACAAAAAUCGAAAGACAAGCUAAUAUGUGAAAAACGGGGCUGCCCUCAUGGGUUUCAUAGCUACGGUUCGUUCCGUUCUUACUCCCUUCAUUAAACAUGCUCAACAUCUACCCAAGAACAACAUACUAAAAUUUCACGACGAUCCGACGUCGUUUCAAAAUAAAGUCGAGAAUCGACGUUUUUCGACGUCGACGAAAAUCGAAAAUAAAACCAUCAAAACGUAGGUAGAGAUCUUACCUACUUAGAUACAUGAUCGAAAAGAUGAUCGGCGCUCGUCUCGGUGCUCAAAUCGGAGCUUGAAACCUCCGUCCAAGCUAAAAAUGGUGUUUGGCGUGUUUGAGUGUGAGUGUGUGAGAGAG
rnacentral:lncRNA from 1 species